rnacentral:tRNA from 1 species
GGGAUGUAGCUCAUUUGGCAAAGCAUUUGCCUACCGUGGGCAAAGCCCUGGGUUCAAUCCUCAGCAUCACCA